ensembl:processed_transcript
GAAGUACCGCCCCGCCGCGUACCUUGAACGCGGGGUAGCGAAGGAGUCGGUUCUGGCUUUCCGACACCCCCUCCUCCCCGCCCCGUUUGUGCCCUGUGUCUGCGCACACUCGCCGGCGGGCCCUUCGACCUGAGAGCAUCUUCGGUGAGCAGGACUUAUCAGAGAUGUACGCGUCACCCACUUUCCCGUUGCCACCAAAAGCAUGGAUGUCAGUCUUCAAAAAUCUUCUGAAAGAUGCCCCGAGAAGAAAGGAGAUGGCAAAGGUGCGCUUCUGCACUAGUUCCACCUUAGCCAGAUGUUGUGCUUUGGGGGCUAACCUGAGCUGAAGUACAGAAAGCAGUGGUGCAGGAAGCCAGAUGAACCUCCUAUAGCUGGCUCCUGUAUUUCUUCGACAGCACCCUGCGUCUUACAAGGGGGAGAUUACAACCCACGCAGUAGUUUAGGGCAGGGAGCACAGCUCUUUGCACCUCACAGGUUCCUGUUACCACAGCCAGACAUUUGAACCCCCUUUUCUUCUGUUUUCACAAUUAACGAUACAAAAUUACCAAACUCCCUCCUCAUGAACACUCCGUUUAGGUCAAAUACAAUAGCUAAGAGAUUGUUUUAAGAGUCUGACUCCCUACCCAGCAAAGGAAGCCCUAUGCUCUCUCAGCUCAAAUCUGGAGUCACCAACUUCACACUAUGCAGAAGAUUGAAAAUUGAGCGUGCUUAGUAACCAAGGCAGAGUUUGCUCUGAAACUUUUUUUCAUUGUCUCUUCAGUACUUUUAACUGCACAGGGCACUUGCCCAGGGGGGGAGAAGGGAAGGGAUACAUAGUGGUUUCAUCUCUAUCAGGAGGAUCUCUUAUCUUAAUUGAUGAAGGAGGAGACUUGACUUGUUUUUACCUCAGAAUUAUCACCUAGGCAUGUUAGUUACAGCCAGUACCUAAUUCCUGCCACUAUGCUGACUUCACUUUUUAAUCUGACUUGGUGCCUGCAUUCUUGAGGUGGACUUUGAGCCUCCACUCCUCCUUCAUUCUUGCAUUCCAGAAGCGUGUAUAAAGCCCAUGUCCUGCCACCUCCCAUGGAAAACUCUGAUUCCUGAUUGAGACAUCCAAGAAAAUACGUCAAUAACUUUUUGAGUUUUCCAACUGCUUUUUUUUAAAAGUUAUAGAAAGCUGACCUACUCAGUUUAAUGUUGCUUUAUUUUUUCAGAAAUACUCACAUAAUAAAUGAUAAGUAUGUUUUU